GGUCCGCUGGCUCAAUGGCAGAGCAUCUGGCUACGAACAGGAGGUUCCAGGUUUGACCCCUAGGUGGAUAG